CAGCCGCCGCGGUAAUACGUAGGGUCCGAGCGUUGUCCGGAAUUACUGGGCGUAAAGAGCUCGUAGGUGGUUUGUCGCGUUGUUCGUGAAAACUCACAGCUCAACUGUGGGCGUGCGGGCGAUACGGGCAGACUAGAGUACUGCAGGGGAGACUGGAAUUCCUGGUGUAGCGGUGGAAUGCGCAGAUAUCAGGAGGAACACCGGUGGCGAAGGCGGGUCUCUGGGCAGUAACUGACGCUGAGGAGCGAAAGCGUGGGGAGCGAACAGGAUUAGAUACCCGUGUAGUCCCUGUCUCUUAUAC
rnacentral:rRNA from 1 species